UACGAAGGGGGCUAGCGUUGUUCGGAAUUACUGGGCGUAAAGCGUGCGCAGGCGGCUUCUCAAGUCAGGGGUGAAAGCCCAGAGCUCAACUCUGGAAUUGCCUUUGAGACUGAGUGGCUUGAGUACGAGAGAGGUGAGUGGAAUUCCCAGUGUAGAGGUGAAAUUCGUAGAUAUUGGGAAGAACACCGGUGGCGAAGGCGGCUCUCUGGACCGUAACUGACGCUGGGGUGCGAAAGCAUGGGGGAGCGAACAGG
rnacentral:rRNA from 1 species